UGAACCAGACAUUGUCAGGUGCUUACUCUUUGACAUAUGAGUAAUUACUGUUACAUGUCGGGUAGAGAAAAAAGAGAGAAGGAAAAGCUUUUUAACCUGAGCUUCAUUUUUAGAGUUUGGAUUUCUUUUUUAAGAUGCUCAUCGUUUGCUUGGUCAUCUGCAUUUGGUGAUGCCUGAGCUACAUCUGUUCAUCACAUUU